CACGCGGGCUCGGACGGCACUAUACCGCCAACCUGGUCAGAACCGGAAGGUAGCAGCCAUACGUGGUCCCUGGUGGGUGUUCGGGUCCGCAGGACA
rnacentral:SRP_RNA from 1 species